GCGGUAAUACGUAGGGCGCAAGCGUUAUCCGGAAUUAUUGGGCGUAAAGAGCUCGUAGGCGGUUUGUCGCGUCUGCUGUGAAAUCCGGAGGCUCAACCUCCGGCCUGCAGUGGGUACGGGCAGACUAGAGUGCGGUAGGGGAGAUUGGAAUUCCUGGUGUAGCGGUGGAAUGCGCAGAUAUCAGGAGGAACACCGAUGGCGAAGGCAGAUCUCUGGGCCGUAACUGACGCUGAGGAGCGAAAGGGUGGGGAGCAAACAGGAUU
rnacentral:rRNA from 1 species